AGUGAACGCUGGCGGCGUGCCUAAUACAUGCAAGUCGAACGGAGUGGCGCACGGGUGAGUAAUAUAUAGCUAAUCUGCCCCUUGCUGGAGGACAACAGUUAGAAAUGACUGCUAAUACUCCAUAGCAAGGGAUGAGACUACAUCUUAUCAGCUAGUCGGUGUUGUAACGGCCUACCGAGGCUAUGACGAGUAACUGGUCUGAGAGGAUGAUCAGUAGCAUUGGAACUGAGACACGGUCCAAACUCCUACGGGAGGCAGCGGUAGGGAAUAUUGCGCAAUGGGGGUAACCCUGACGCGGCAACGCCGCGUGGAGGAUGACACUUUUCGGAGCGUAAACUCCUUUUGUUAGGGAAGCGGUACCUAACGAAUAAGCACCGGCUAACUCCGUGCCAGCAGCCGCGGUAAUAC
rnacentral:rRNA from 1 species